GUGGUAAAUAAAUAAAGCACACCCAAUACUAGCAUUCUUAAUGUAUAAAAAAUGCAUUAACACUUAUCAAAUAAACAUUUGCAAUUUCAUUAAAUUACAACAAUUCUUUUUCUAGCAAGCCUUCUGGGCAUGUAGCUUGAACACAUGUUUUAUUUAACAUUACCGAGAAUCAUUCAAGGAAAACAAGAAUCAUUUAAAACUUUAAACUAUAUAAAAAAAAGUGCUGUUAUUAAAGUGUAUUCAAUAUUUUCAGAAAAAAAAUCUUUGAAAAUCAAGAACAGAUAAUUAUACUCAAUGUGUUUGGAUAAUCUGUGUUUUUUUGGUUUUUUUUUACCUUCCAAUAACUUAAUUUUGGAUGUUACGCGUCUUCUGAUUGUCUGACGUUGUUUGGUUUAUCAAUUCAAAGACAUAGUUUUGUCAUGUGACCGUGACGUCAUCAACGUUUUUUUUGUAGUUUACUCCGAUUUAAAAUGGAAUUUAGAAUUGAAUUAUAAGAAAUGACUGUAAUAUUUUUUCUGUCUAUUUGAAAAUAUAUAAAACAUUGUUGAUGUUAUUUCUUC
rnacentral:lncRNA from 1 species